AGUGAAGCGGGAUGAGCUCAAAUUUGAAAUCUGGCUGGUUUACUAGUCCGAGUUGUAAUUUAAAGAAGCGUUUUCGGUGGCAGCCUGGGUAUAAAUCCUUUGGAAUAGGGUAUCAUAGAGGGUGAGAAUCCCGUCUUUGACCUAGUGCAUGCUACUAUGUGAUACGUUUUCAAAGAGUCGAGUUGUUUGGGAAUGCAGCUCAAAAUGGGUGGUAAAUUUCAUCUAAAGCUAAAUAUUGGCGAGAGACCGAUAGCGAACAAGUACCGUGAGGGAAAGAUGAAAAGAACUUUGAAAAGAGAGUUAAACAGUGCGUGAAAUUGUUGAAAGGGAAACGCUUGACACCAGUCAUGUGGGUGGAAAAUCAGUCUUUUGCAUUGGGGAGUUGUAAGGGUUCGGACCGCAAGGCCGGCUUUUGCUUCAUCUUUGGUGUAAGUGAUGCACUUUUUCAUCUACAGGUCAACAUCAGUUUCUUUUACUGGACAAAACUCCGAGAGAAGGUAGCAGCUUAGGCUGUGUUAUAGCUCUGGAGCGAUACAGUGAAKGGGACUGAGGUUUUCGCAGCGUGUGCUCUCGGGCAAGGCUGGAUGGGUGCUAUGGAAUCGUUCGGGGUACAAUGCCUGGCAUUUUGCUUCGUGUCUUUUCUAUACUCGCUCAACUCAGCUCUUCCACGCUUAGGAUGUUGACUUAAUGGUUUUAAUCGACC
rnacentral:rRNA from 1 species